GGUUGCGUAGCUCAGUGGUUAGAGCGACUGCUUUACACGCAGCAGGCCGCAGGUUCGAUCCCUGCCGCGAUCA
rnacentral:tRNA from 1 species